rnacentral:rRNA from 1 species
AGAGUUGUAUCCUGGCUCAGGAUGAACGCUAGCGGCAGGCCUAACACAUGCAAGUCGAGGGGUAACAGGAAAGCUUGCUUUCGCUGACGACCGGCGCACGGGUGCGUAACGCGUAUGCAACCUACCUCAUACUGGAGAAUAGCCCCUGGAAACGGGGAUUAAUACUCCAUAGUAUCAUUCUUUCGCAUGUUUGAAUGAUUAAAGAAUUUCGGUAUGAGAUGGGCAUGCGUCCCAUUAGCUAGUUGGUGAGGUAACGGCUCACCAAGGCGACGAUGGGUAGGGGGCCUGAGAGGGUGGUCCCCCACACUGGUACUGAGACACGGACCAGACUCCUACGGGAGGCAGCAGUGAGGAAUAUUGGUCAAUGGAGGCAACUCUGAACCAGCCAUGCCGCGUGAAGGAUGACGGCCCUAUGGGUUGUAAACUUCUUUUAUAUGGGAAGAAACUUAUCUACGUGUAGAUAACUGACGGUACCAUACGAAUAAGGAUCGGCUAACUCCGUGCCAGCAGCCGCGGUAAUACGGAGGAUCCAAGCGUUAUCCGGAUUCAUUGGGUUUAAAGGGUCCGUAGGCGGAUUUUUAAGUCAGUGGUGAAAGCCGACAGCUCAACUGUCGAACUGCCAUUGAUACUGGAGAUCUUGAGUACAAAUGAAGUAGGCGGAAUGAGUCAUGUAGCGGUGAAAUGCAUAGAUAUGACUCAGAACACCAAUUGCGAAGGCAGCUUACUAACAUGUAACUGACGCUG